rnacentral:rRNA from 1 species
GAUGAACGCUGGCGGCGUGCCUAAUACAUGCAAGUCGAGCGAACAGACGAGGAGCUUGCUCCUCUGACGUUAGCGGCGGACGGGUGAGUAACACGUGGAUAACCUACCUAUAAGACUGGGAUAACUUCGGGAAACCGGAGCUAAUACCGGAUAAUAUAUUGAACCGCAUGGUUCAAUAGUUAAAGACGGUUUUGCUGUCACUUAUAGAUGGAUCCGCGCCGCAUUAGCUAGUUGGUAAGGUAACGGCUUACCAAGGCAACGAUGCGUAGCCGACCUGAGAGGGUGAUCGGCCACACUGGAACUGAGACACGGUCCAGACUCCUACGGGAGGCAGCAGUAGGGAAUCUUGCGCAAUGGGCGAAAGCCUGACGGAGCAACGCCGCGUGAGUGAUGAAGGUCUUCGGAUCGUAAAACUCUGUUAUUAGGGAAGAACAAAUGUGUAAGUAACUAUGCACGUCUUGACGGUACCUAAUCAGAAAGCCACGGCUAACUACGUG